rnacentral:lncRNA from 1 species
AAAAAAUAAAUAAAAUAUAACAGAAAUUUUUUGGACUUGGGCCCUCUCUCAUUUGAGCCCACAGGUCCACAAAAAUCAGGUUAUAAAUUCAGAGUUUCAGUGAAACAAAAGGCAAUUCUAUUCCUAUUACCCUGGCAGGAAAAAAGAUAAUGAGAGAAGAGCUAACAGAGUUCAGAGCAACCGCCAGAGACUGAAAGGAACUCAUCUGCAAAGAGCCAAUUUCAUCUCAUAUAAACCCUCAGAUUGCUUUGCAAACCCAACCGGGCAAUUCAAU